rnacentral:rRNA from 1 species
UACGAAGGGGGCUAGCGUUGCUCGGAAUCACUGGGCGUAAAGCGCACGUAGGCGGAUUGCUAAGUCAGGGGUGAAAUCCUGGAGCUCAACUCCAGAACUGCCCUUGAUACUGGCGGUCUCGAGUCCGGGAGAGGUGAGUGGAACUGCGAGUGUAGAGGUGAAAUUCGUAGAUAUUCGCAAGAACACCAGUGGCGAAGGCGGACUCACUGGCUCGAUACUGACGCUGAGGUGCGAAAAGCGUGGGGAGCAAACAGG